CCGGCGACAUGGAGAACGCGGUGCCCGGAUCGAGGUCCGGGAUAAAUGGGAAGUCAGUCCAAGCUGACGCUGCCCCCGCAACGGUGGGGCCGUUCCACGGCCGAGCCCGACACCAGCCCGUUCUCCCGAAGCAGGU
rnacentral:ncRNA from 17 species